rnacentral:rRNA from 1 species
AUUGAACGCUGGCGGAAUGCUUUACACAUGCAAGUCGAACGGCAGCACGGGGCAACCUGGUGGCGAGUGGCGAACGGGUGAGUAAUACAUCGGAACGUGCCCAAUCGUGGGGGAUAACGUAGCGAAAGUUACGCUAAUACCGCAUACGAUCUACGGAUGAAAGCGGGGGAUCGCAAGACCUCGCGCGAAUGGAGCGGCCGAUGUCAGAUUAGGUAGUUGGUGGGGUAAAGGCUCACCAAGCCAACGAUCUGUAGCUGGUCUGAGAGGACGACCAGCCACACUGGAACUGAGACACGGUCCAGACUCCUACGGGAGGCAGCAGUGGGGAAUUUUGGACAAUGGGUGCAAGCCUGAUCCAGCCAUUCCGCGUGCAGGAUGAAGGCCUCGGUUGUAACUGCUUUGUUACGGAACGAAACGGACGAGCUCUAAUACAGUUUGCUAAUGACGGUACCGUAAGAAUAAGA